UGGAGCAUGUGGUUUAAUUCGAUGCAACGCGAAGAACCUUACCUGGUCUUGACAUCCAGGGAAUUUCCAGAGAUGGGGAGGUGCCUUCGGGAACCUGAGACAGGUGCUGCAUGGCUGUCGUCAGCUCGUGUUGUGAAAUGUUGGGUUAAGUCCCGCAACGAGCGCAACCCUUUCCUUUGUUGCCAGCGGUUCGGCCGGGAACUCAAAGG
rnacentral:rRNA from 1 species